AGAGUUUGAUCCUGGCUCAGGAUGAACGCUGGCGGCGUGCCUAACACAUGCAAGUCGAACGGGAACUUCUGGAUUCGUCUAGAGGGGAGAGUGGCGAACGGGUGAGUAACACGUAGGUGACCUGCCUCGAAGAUGGGGAUAACCACUGGAAACGGUGGCUAAUACCCAAUAGUCUCAUUGAUUUGGUUCAUUGAGUAAAGCUCCGGCGCUUCGAGAGGGGCCUGCGGCCCAUCAGCUUGUUGGUAGGGUAACGGCCUACCAAGGCGAAGACGGGUAGGGGGCGUGAGAGCGUGACCCCCCACACUGGCACUGUGACACGGGCCAGACUCCUACGGGAGGCAGCAGUGAGGAAUAUUGCGCAAUGAGCGAAAGCUAGACGCAGCAACGCCGCGUGGGUGAUGAAGGCCUUCGGGUCGUAAAACCCUUUUCUGGGGGAAGAGAAAGGACGGUACCCCAGGAAUAAGCCUCGGCUAACUAUGUGCCAGCAGCCGCGGUAACACAUAGGAGGCGAGCGUUAUCCGGAUUUAUUGGGCGUAAAGAGCGUUGAGGCGGGCCUGUAAGUUGGACGUGAAAGCUCCUGGCCUAACUGGGAGAGGUCGUUCAAUACUGCAGGGCUUGAGGACAGCAGAGGGGGGUGGAAUUCCCGGUGUAGUGGUGAAAUGCGUAGAGAUCGGGAGGAACACCAGUGGCGAAGGCGGCCCCCUGGGCUGCUCCUGACGCUGAAGGCGAAAGCUAGGGGAGCAAACGGGAUUAGAAACCCCGGUAGUCCUAGCUGUAAACGAUGGAUACUAGGUGUAGGAGGCGAAAAAUCCUUCUGUGCCGAAGCUAACGCGUUAAGUAUCCCGCCUGGGGAGUACGGCCGCAAGGCUAAAACUCAAAGGAAUUGACGGGGACCCGCACAAGCAGCGGAGCGUGUGGUUUAAUUCGAUCUACGCGAAGAACCUUACCAGGGCUUGACAUGCAGGUAGUAGUGAAGCGAAAGCGGAACGAUCCUUCGGGAAGCUUGCACAGGUGCUGCAUGGCUGUCGUCAGCUCGUGCCGUGAGGUGUUAGGUUAAGUCCUGUAACGAGCGCAACCCCUACUGUUAGUUACAUGUGUCUAACGGGACUGCCCGGCAAAACUGGGAGGAAGGUGGGGAUGACGUCAAGUCAGCAUGGCCUUUAUGUCCUGGGCUACACACACGCUACAAUGGCCGGUACAAUGGGUCGCCAAGCCGCGAGGCGGAGCCAAUCCUUAAAGCCGGUCUCAGUUCGGAUUGUAGGCUGCAACUCGCCUGCAUGAAGUUGGAGUUGCUAGUAACCGCAGGUCAGCCACACUGCGGUGAAUACGUUCCCGGGUCUUGUACAUACCGCCCGUCACGUCAUGGGAGCUGGUAACACCUGAAGCCGUUGGGCUAACCGUAAGGAGGCAGACGUCGAAGGUGGGACGGUGACUGGGACGAAGUCGUAACAAGGUA
rnacentral:rRNA from 1 species